UGUUAAGGAACAUUUUUACGACAGCCAAAGUGGCUCUGGAUUUCUGGCAUGGUGACUCAAGACAAUUCAGAGAAAGACAAAACUUGCGUCCAAGGAACGGAAAACACACAGCAGUGGGAGGUGAUCCAAUACAUGAGAGGGAGCUGCCUCGGAUUGGUGGUCAGUUGGAUGUAGAGCACUGUAAAGAGGUCAUAUCCUGGAGGAACCACAUCAGUGACAGAGAAAUCGUCCUGCAGAAGAUGGAGACCUUUGAGUACAGACCGCACCUCAUCCACAAUCCUGAUGACUCACACACUGUACUGUGUUUCCAAGGCUACUGGACACUAAAGGGCUGAUAUGUCAAGAUUUUAGCCUCCUCUUUGGACCAGAAACCCACUGCCAAACUGCUUGAGAGGAAUUCAUCCUAUAAAGGAAAGGUGAUCAGAGAGCAGAGAGUCUCACGCCGGUGCUGCAGAGUGUGCUGAAGUCUGCCAGGAAUCAGUACAAUGAUGAAUGAUGAGGAUCGCCCAGAGUGGGACAGUGAUAUGGCAUAUUUCCUGCUGCUCCUGCUUAAGUCCCUUGCGAAGAAACACCAAUUUGCUGUUGCCUAUCAUUGGGAAUCAUUGUCUGCCAAAGACUGGACUGAAAAGACGGAUGUAGAAACCCAGACACAAUUAGCAUAAUUUUAACUGUUAAUUAUUUCUGUUGUGAUGUGAUCUGAUUGUGAUAAUUUAGAAAUGUGUAUUUUUUAUUUUGACUGUUCUCCUUUAUUGCUGAUGGUACAUUGUAGUGGUGUUAAUGUAGAAAUGUAAAAAUCUUUUCAGGAUAUGUAAAUGUUAAAAUAUGUUCAUUUAAUGUUUUUAUUCAUUAUUUUGAUAACUUAUUGCUGUUAGGUUAAUUUUGGAAUGUACAUUUUUGUAUUUUGACUGGUUAUUUAUUGCUGUAGUUAGAUAGUAUUGAUGGUAAUUUUGGAAUGUUUGUCUUGUUAUUUUGAUACAAAUAUAUUUGAUGUACAUUGUAUAUAGUAGUAUUGUUAAAAGAUUUUAAGAGAAGCUAUUCCCUGUCGGAUCAAGCAUGCACUUCAUCCUUCAACGCCUUGCUAAUCCACAACCUAGUGCCUGGAAUGUUAUUUGUGUAUCAGAAAUGUACAUUUAACGCAUUCAAUUGGAAAUUGAUUAUUGUAGAUUGCUAAUCGCACGGCCUUCUAUGCUGGCCUAGAGAUGUUCCGAUUCAGACAUUUAUAUUUUUUAUGAUUUCAUAUAUAUUUUUGUUAAUGCCAUAUGUAUUUUACAAAAGUCGUCCCAAUGAAUCUAUUAACGUAAUGUAA